rnacentral:rRNA from 1 species
UACGAAGGGGCUAGCGUUGUUCGGAAUUAGCUGGGCGUAAAGCGCACGGUAGGCGGAUCGAUAAGUCAGGGGUGAAAUCCCGGGCUCAACCUCGGAAUUGCCUUUGAUACUGUCAAUCUCGAGUCCGGGAGAGGUGAGUGGAAUUCCUAGUGUAGAGGUGAAAUUCGUAGAUAUUAGGAAGAACACCAGUGGCGAAGGCGGACUCACUGGCCCGGAACUAGACGCUCAUGAGCGAAAGCGUGGGAGCAACAGGAUAAGAACCCAGU